CAGCAAUCUUCCCCCAGAUACCUCCUGUCUCAUCCCACUCUGUGUUUUUGCUGCCUGGAUCCAGUCCCAAAGCACUCCUAGCUGGUCCUGCUGAGCUCUGAGUCACAACAGCUCUCUUCAUCCUCAGCCCAUUUCCCUACACCCUUGGGAUACUAAAACCUUCUAGGGAGCCAAUUACCAUUACUUAAUCUAUAAUUAAAAGGCCAGAUAAGCAGAUAACAAUCUUGCAGACAACAUGGCCUGUUUAAGUCAGCCUGAGCUUUCUCUGGAGCAGUGGCAGUGGGAAGCAGUUAUCCUCUGAAUGCAGACAGGUCACCAGAGAGAUGGAGGGGAAAUGGGAAACUCAGAGUCCUGACACACACAUUGGAGCCAACUGAUCAAUGAAUCCAAAACACCAUCACCAGAAUCCAAUCAAGCAAUCACCUCAGCUUCUCUCUGUUCAGAGGGCAUGUGAAUACCACAAGUUGUUCUCUGUCAUUUACAGAAAUAAACAGGCUGCAGGAAACUUAGUUCAGCUUAAAUCAGCUGCUAAACCUGGCCUCACAGCCAGCCUUCAGCUCCACACUCAGGCUGAAUCAGCAGUUUUUGCCUGGCUCCCCACAGGCAUCAGCAGCGGGAUGGAAAGGAGGGACAUGCUGCUGUGCUUGGGGUACAGUGUAAAAACUCUCUGAGCCCUUGCAAUGUCUGAUGGGGAGACAACUGUUGGAGCUGAAGACUCUUGGCAGAGGCACUUGUGUGUCUGAACUGACAUCAGCUGCCCAAGACUGAUGUUAUGAAAGAACAUAGCAGUGAUAAGUGAAAAAGAGUUGGGCAAUUGGCUGAUAGCCACUAGGAUAAAGGGAAGAGGUCUGGAGGGAGGUGGAAGUUGGGAAGGUGAAUGGAGGAAAUGGUAGGGCAGAAAUCAGGGACUCAGCUUCUGCCACUGGCUCCUUCCCUGGCCCUUGGCCAAGGUGAAUAAGCUGAGUAAAUGUUUGCUCAUUUAAGGAAAAAAGCAGUGAUUUUAGGCACUGAUACUGAGGUCUAAAAGGAAGCCCUGUGUCUUCAAGGUCUUCCAAGAGAAAGUGUUGUCACUGUCACCCCUACACUGUUUCCAUCCUGAAGUGAUGAUAACAUUUUAUGACUGUUGAAUUUUGUGUUGGGUUUGUAGGGCCAGGUUUUGGUGGCAGAAGGGCUACAAGGGUGGCUUCUUUGAGAAACUGCUGGAACAUUUGCUGCUCCAUGUCCAGCAAAGCCAGUCCCAGGAUGGGCCUGCCACUGGGCCAGUUAGAAAUGGUGGGAAUGCCUCUGAGCUAACAGAUUGGAGAAGGAAAAAAGGAAAAUUUUAAGGAGUUGUGUCUGCAGUCAGAGAGGACAGGAGUGAGAAUUUGUGGGAGGAGCAGCACACCCAGGCAGUGCAGGAGGAGGCACAGGAGCUCUGCUGGUGCCAGAGCUGAGGUUCCCCUGCAGCCCCUGGUGCAGCCAUGGAGGGC